rnacentral:rRNA from 1 species
CCUACGGGAGGCAGCAGUGGGGAAUAUUGGGCAAUGGGCGCAAGCCUGACCCAGCAACGCCGCGUGAAGGAAGAAGGCUUUCGGGUUGUAAACUUCUUUUGACAGGGAAGAGUAGAAGACGGUACCUGUCGAAUAAGCCACGGCUAACUACGUGCCAGCAGCCGCGGUAAUACGUAGGUGGCAAGCGUUGUCCGGAUUUACUGGGUGUAAAGGGCGUGUAGCCGGGUUGACAAGUCAGAUGUGAAAGCCUGCGGCUUAACCGCAGAACUGCAGUUGAAACUGUUGAGCUUGAGUACUGGAGAGGCAGACGGAAUGCGUGGUGUAGCGGUGAAAUGCGUAGAUAUUAGGAAGAACACCAGUGGCGAAGGCGGUCUGCUAAGCAAUAACUGACGGUGAGGCGCGAAAGCGUGGGGAUCAAACAGGAUUAGAUACCCCAGUAGUC